rnacentral:rRNA from 1 species
AGGACGAACGCUGGCGGCGUGCCUAACACAUGCAAGUCGAGCGAGGAGAUCCUCGGGAUGAUCCUAGCGGCGGACGGGUGAGUAACACGUGGGCAACCUGCCUCAUAGAGAGGAAUAGCCUUCCGAAAGGGAGAUUAAUACCUCAUAACAUUGCAGUUUCGCAUGAAACAGCAAUUAAAGGAGCAAUCCGCUAUGAGAUGGGCCCGCGGGCGCAUUAGCUAGUUGGUGAGGUAACGGCUCACCAAGGCGACGAUGCGUAGCCGACCUGAGAGGGUGAUCGGCCACAUUGGGACUGAGACACGGCCCAGACUCCUACGGGAGGCAGCAGUGGGGAAUAUUGCACAAUGGGGGAAACCCUGAUGCAAGCAACGCCGCGUGAGUGAUGACGGCCUUCGGGUUGUAAAGCUCUGUCUUCAGGGACGAUAAUGACGGUACCUGAGGAGGAAGCCACGGCUAACUACGUGCCAGCAGCCGC